GGCGGGUCCCGGUGCCUCCGCAGCCCGUCCCUGCACGGAGGAGGAGAAGCACGAAGGUCAAGUGCAGGUUUCCUCGAGAACCUCUCCAGGUAAUCGGUCCAGUGUUUGAGCUCCCUCCCGAAUCACCCAAAGAAGGGGAAAUUCCUGGUAGCUAAAGCCCAGGAGAUGGGGCUGCCAGUGGGAACUCCAGCCAUCCUUCCCAUAAUUACAGCUCUCAGAAGCAGGCAGAGCUGCACUGGGGCAGGCACAGGCACACACACAGCUGGGCAGUCCCUUCCUCUCCUUGGCUGCCAGGCCCA